rnacentral:rRNA from 1 species
UACGUAGGCAGCAAGCGUUGUUCGGAAUUACUGGGCGUAAAGAGUGUGUAGGCGGUGCUCUAAGUUCGUUGUGAAAUCUCCCGGCUUAACUGGGAGGGUGCGGCGGAAACUGGAGUGCUUGAGCGCGGGAGAGGAAAGCGGAAUUCCUGGUGUAGCGGUGAAAUGCGUAGAUAUCAGGAGGAACACCGGUGGCGAAGGCGGAUCUCUGGGCCAUUACUGACGCUGAGGAGCGAAAGCGUGGGGAGCGAACAGG